CAACUACACCGGGUAACCGCGGGCACACUCUUCUCCCCAGGGGAGGAGGCGCCGAAAGGCAGUGUCUGAGGAAAGUCCGAGCUCCGCAGGGCAGGGUGCUGGAUAACGUCCAGUGGGGGCGACCCUAAGGAAAGUGCCACAGAAAAGAAGACGCCGAAUGGCAGUCCAGUCUCUGACCGGUCUGUUUCAUGGCAAAGCUGAAAAGGUGCGGUAAGAGCGCACCAGCGGCUGAGUAAUCAGUCGGCUUGGUAAACCCCACCCGGAGCAAGACCGAAUAGGAGGGAGUGUACACCUUAGUGUGUACACGAAGACGGCCCGUCUUUCCCUCGGGUACGGUCGCACGAGACGGCAGGUGACUGCCGUACCAGAUAAAUGGUUACCAGCGGCUAUGUUGCGCAUAGCCGUUACAGAACUCGGCUUAUAGGUGUAGUUGGGGU
rnacentral:RNase_P_RNA from 1 species